rnacentral:lncRNA from 1 species
GAAAUGUGAAUUUUGUUUCUGCUAAAACAUAAUUCUUGUUCUGUAACUUUCUUUCUUUCAAUCUGUUGCAGGAUAAUAGGAUUUUUGCUACUGUUUUUGAACAAUGGAUGUAGAAGGGGAGAACAAACCCACACCAGUAGAGAGCCUUGAGUCAAAGAAUGAAGAAGUAGAUGUUAGUGGUGCUGCAGGAGAGAGCGAAGCCCAGGGUCAACAGGAAGUUGAGGCGACGUUGACCCUGGUGACCUGGAACAUCGAUGGACUGGACCCUGAAGACUGCAUAGAUCGUGUCAGAGGACUGGCGGUCUACUUGAACAAGUAAGUAUAAAGUGUGCAGCAGUAACCCCUUUAUUCACUGUUCUGUGUUCAUAGCAAUGCUGGGCGUGAAAUUCAGAUAUAUACAGUACAUUUAACAUAUGCGGAGCGAAUUUACAAUUGUAUGGGGUAAUACAUCUACACUUUCAGACCAUAUACUCUGUUUCAGGCCUGGAGUCACAUUCAGAGUUGUCACCUCACUUGACACAUACUGUAGAUUCUUUGAGGCAGGAUCAGCUUGUCCCACAUCUGAAAGUUAAAAAUGUAUAGUCCAAAUUCGAACUAGAACAUAAACUGUAUUGACAGAAGAAAACAUGAAGUUACAUUUUAGGAAUAGCACUUUAUUAUAUCUUUACCAUCUUUUUAUGUUUAUUGUACAGAUAAUUCAAAGUCAAAUUCACAGCACCAAAAGGCUGCUUUGUAUGAUAUGAUUUUAUCAUAUGUGUAACUGCAAAAAGAUCAUGAUAAUGAAAAUGAAAAAUAUAUGGAGUGCAUUUUAUUUUUUAAUUAUCAUUUAAUUUUACUUCAAGUAGUAAAGCAACAGCAUCUUUUGAGCAAACAUUUAAUGAUUCACUUGAAGUUUCAUUUCUUUCAGUUUAUCACAUUUCUGAAACUUCUCUGAUAUCAACGUUUCCUGGAAUUUUAGGUGGAAUUUUAACUCUAUUCAGGUCUGACGUGUUACUCUUUCUUGAAGUCUCAUUUUAGUACCUUCAGGACAGUAAUAAACAUACCUCGCACAGUGUGAAUCAACUUCACCCAUGUUUGCAUUGUUUGUGCUAAAAACCCAUAGCUCCUUGUUUAAAGAAGUGCCUCCCAUUUCUGUCCUCCAAUUCUUAAUUGUCACCUUAAACAUUGAUACACUUGGAGUCGUUUUUUCAUUUUGAGCUUAAAGGCAUCCUUUGUAUUAAGUUUCUAAGUGUCUGUCUGAACCAAAUCCCCUCACAAUCUCUUGUGUUUCAAGAGUCAAGAUUAAUUUCCUCUAACCCAGUGUGUGUAUGACUUCCCU